rnacentral:rRNA from 2 species
GACGGAGGGUGCAAGCGUUGUUCGGAAUCACUGGGCGUAAAGCGCGUGUAGGCGGUUCGAUUAGUCGAGUGUGAAAGCCCGAGGCUCAACUUCGGAAGCGCAUUCGAAACUGUCGGGCUUGAGUACGGGAGAGGGAAGUGGAAUUCCUGGUGUAGAGGUGAAAUUCGUAGAUAUCAGGAGGAACACCGGUGGCGAAGGCGGCUUCCUGGACCGAUACUGACGCUGAGACGCGAAAGCGUGGGGAGCAAACAGG